AUCGAAGCACAAGCUUCAGGAGGUUUUAAAGCUCUGUGAGUUUGAACACUGAGAAUCUGAACCAACAGCAACCAUGAGCUUCAUCACCAUCUUCAUCUGGAUGUUCACUAGCUACUGUUUCACAGAAUCAGCUGGUGAAGUGACAGCCACUCAGACGCCUGCAGUGAAAUCUGUUCGUCCAGGAGAUUCAGUUACUGUAUCCUGUAAAACCAGUACUGAAGUUUACCAGGGUUGGGGUUAUCAGCCUUUAGCCUGGUACUUACAGAAACCUGGAGAAGCUCCUAAACUCCUGAUUUAUUAUGCAAGCACCCUCCAGUCAGGAACUCCAUCUAGAUUCAGUGGCAGUGGAUCUAACAGUGAUUUCACUCUGACCAUCAGUGGAGUCCAGACUGAAGAUGCUGGACAUUAUUACUGUCAGAGUUUACAAUGGAUCAACAGUAACUGGGUGUUCACACAGUGAUAAAGAGUCGUACAAAAACCUCCGUCAGUCAGAGUCACAGUGACUGAACUGAUACUGCAGCUGCUCACACACUUUCACACACUUUCACACACACUCAACAGUGAAGAUUUUCAUAAAUAUUGAAUUAUAUUUAAAGUAAAGUUUUUUCACAUGGUAAAUAAUUAAACUAUAACACUCUUUAUCUUAUUAAAUGAAUCGAACACUGUAUCUGUGAGGUUCAUGAUUUGGCUGCAUGUUCUCAUUUCAUCAUGUAUCUGCAGGUGUUUUCAUGCUCCAUUGAGUGAAGUUUAUUUAUGAAAUGUGAGCUAAAGCCCUGAUCCUAUGAAAGAGCCGAAACAAAAUGGCACAAGGACAUAAAGAUACAGUUUUAUUUUAUUUCUUGACUGAAUUUUAAUAUAAUCACAACUGAUUGAUAAAGUCACACAUAUAGUCUUGUGUGAAAGGCAGAAAGCAGAGAUGAAUCGACUGAAGCUGAUGGAGAAUGAACGAGUCCCUCAUGUGCUGCAGAGAAACACACUGUUGGUCUCCAUGAGUGAGAAGAGCAGCAGAUCUCCUCUGAACACUGCCGUCUCCUCACACAGGCCGGCCGCUCCGUGUGUCCUCACAGUGUCUCCAUCCACUCCUGCUGCUGCUCCAGCUGUACAGACCGUCCUUCUCCAGGAGCCCAGCGCUGCUCUCCUGAGACCUGCUGCUCCCGUCCACCUUCAGCUCAGGCUCCAGUCUGACGGGAAGCCCUUGUUGGCCACACACACCAGUGUCGCUGUGUUCA